rnacentral:lncRNA from 1 species
UGUUUUUGAAAAUCACAGGAAGGAUAUUUCUUGUUUGAAAGUGGUAGCAUCAGGGAAUUUCGCGGGAAAGAUUGAAGCUCGUGGUCUCGUGCUUUCAACGAAAAUUUUUGUCCUAAAAACUUUCAUUAUUUUUGUAGAAUCUUAUCCCAAUAUAAGCUCUAAUCUUUGGCAAAUGGACAACAGUGUAUUUGUAACUCGUUAAAGAAAGCUGUGGGUUGCAUUUGUGGUCGAGAUUCGAUGUUUUUCAAGCUUGACUUGGCUCAAACUUUAUGUUGUAUUUCAUACUCCAUCUUGGUAUAAAUGUUGCAUCAGCUGUAUCGAUUUGUUUAGAAAUUGCUUGGAAUUCCUCUGGUUUCUCUUGUUUAAG